rnacentral:tRNA from 1 species
AAGUUUAGGUUAAACAAACCAGGAGCCUUCAAAGCCCCAAACAAGAAUAAAUCUUAACUUCU